ACAACAGGCUCUUUAACCUGUUUUUUUGGUUUUUUUUUCAAUCAUCCAUUUGCAACAUAAUUUGAAGAAGGUAUUAAUGAGCUGGAUUUUUUUUUAAAAAACUUACUUGUAAAUGUGAAAAUAUUGAUCAACAAAUUGGAUUUGCACUAAUGAAUACUGAAAAUUUGCAGAAAAGUCCAGGCUAACAAAUGUGCUAAAGAAAUUUAAAUAAGCUAUAGCUGCAUAGAGCCAAAAAAUCGAGAAAUUAUUACGUUUUAAUUCGCUAAAAAAUAUUAAAUCAUUGUCUGGUAAGAUCUGCUCUCAAGAAUCUAGUAUACAAAAGGCAUCUAAAGCUGAGCACACUUGGCUACAGUUCGCUCUUAUAUUGCUUGAUUUCAUUGAACGAUUUGAGCCAAUUUGAACCAUUCUCAUUUACCACAGGCCUUUGCAGCUUCAUUCAGAAGUUAUAAAAAAAAGUAAAGAAUUCCAAAAUUAAUAUAAUAGAGAAACGCAAUUUAAACCCAAGAAAUUCACGUCCUAACAAUUACCACAUUAGUCGAGUCAAACCUCCCACCUAGCCCAACUUCAAGAAUAGCAACAUCAAC